UCAUCACCCCGCGCCUUGCCGGCCUCCUCCUCCUCUCCUCAUACCCACCGAAGCCAAUACGUUAGUGGGCGCGCGCGAGAGAGCGAGCACCGGUGGCGGGAUGGGGCUGCCGGCUGUGGCUCCGGUGUUGAGGCGGAGGCUUCACAGAUUGAAGCCAUUCAACAGGUUACAGGUCAUUGUAGAACACUUGAGUAUGUCCAAGACGGCAGCUUCUUCCUCUGAGGUUCUCUUGGAAAAAAGGGGUUGUGCUGGUGUUAUAACCAUGAACAGACCCAAGGCUCUGAAUGCAUUAAAUAUAUCCAUGAUUCGACAGAUAUAUCCACAACUGAAGAAAUGGGAGAAGGACCCUGACACCUUUUUAAUAAUAAUAAAGGGAGCUGGAGACAAGGCUUUCUGUGCAGGAGGCGAUAUCAAAGCUAUUGCUGAAGCAGGAAGAGCGGGAGAAGCGCUGCCACAAUAUUUCUUCAGAGAAGAGUACGCCUUGAACAAUGCUGUCGGCACCUGCCAGAAGCCAUACGUGGCACUUAUUGAUGGAAUUACAAUGGGAGGUGGUGUCGGUGUGUCUGUUCAUGGGCAUUUCAGAGUCGCUACAGAGAAGACGGUUUUUGCAAUGCCAGAGACAGCCAUAGGUCUUAUUCCUGACGUAGGUGGAGGCUACUUCUUGCCAAGGCUUUCAGGGAAGCUAGGAUAUUUUCUUGCCAUGACUGGAUUCAGGUUGAAAGGAAAAGAUGUUCACAAAGCGGGAAUUGCUACUCACUUCAUAGAAGCAGAGAAGGUGGCUGCCCUAGAAAAGGAUUUGACAGAAUUAAAGUCCCCAUCGAAGGAAAAUGUUGCUGAUAUAUUGGAUUCGUAUCACAAGAAGUGCAAAGUUGAUCAAGAAAAAGAAUUCGUGCUUGGUGAGCACAUGGAGAAGAUUAACAGCUUAUUUUCAGCAAACAGCAUGGAAGAAAUUGUUCAGAACCUGAAGAAGGAUGGCUCCCCUUUUGCACUUAAACAGCUAGAGACCAUUACAAAAAUGUCUCCAACGUCGUUAAAGAUGACCUUGAGGCAGCUUAGAGAAGGAGCUUCCCUGAGCCUGCAGGAUGUGUUCACCAUGGAGUACAGGCUGAGCCAAGCUUGCAUGCGAGGCCAUGACUUCUAUGAAGGUGUCCGAGCAGUGAUAAUUGACAAAGAUCAGUCCCCAAAGUGGAAGCCAGCCGUUUUGGAAGAAGUAACAGAUGAAUAUUUGGACUCGUGCUUUAAGUCUCUUGGAAGCGGUGAUCUCAAAUUAUAAUAGAUUUGGACUAAUACUUUGCCUGUUUUAGUUCUAGCUUUUGCUUAAAGCAACUAAUGAAUAAUUUUGCAUCUGGCAUAUUUGGAUAACUGGCAUUGAGUGAAAUGCUCAUUGCUGUUAUGUCAAGUACUGGAGUCAAAUAUUGGUCUAGAGGGAAUUGUUGGGGCAGUGCUAUCCAGGGGUUAGCCAAAUAUCCUAGAGCUUUAUCACCUGUGUGUGUGCAUUUUUACUUUUCCAUGUAAAAUGAACAAGAUUGUUUCAUAUAAAGACUCUGAUAUCCUUGAAUCAACUAAAUGUUGGGUUGUUUUAAAAAUAUAUUUAUAUGCCAUUCUUUAACAUAUGUUUUAUAGUUGGCUUAUGAGAUAAAACAAGAAUUUAAAAUAAUCACAAUUACCUUUAUCAUAAUGUAUGGAAACUUAAUCAAUCCAGAUGGAUGAGCUGUGAUCCAAAAGACUUGAAGUGAACGAAAAGAGUGUUCUAACCAAGAUAUCUUUGCCACUGCUAACUAGUUUGUCCUGAUGAGUCAGGAGCUGAUUUGUUGCUGAAUGGACAGUACAUGUGAGAUACAUGAAAACCUAUGAUUGCAUUUUUGGGGGGCUAUUAGAUGUAUGACUUAAUUGAUUAAACCUGCUUGAAUAUUUACAUAAAAAUAAGAUCUGAUGGAAAACAUGUACUUCCUGUGUUUUUGUUGCUAGGUGUAUGGAGGAAAGUCUCCAACAGGUCUUGUCAACACCAACCAAUCACCUCAUUGAAUGGCCUCUAAUGUUGACUUAAAUGUCUCCAUCUUGAAUUAUUUUUAGGCCACCCUCCUGUCCAGCCACUUUAUGCUGAGUAUUGCUUGAAUCUCCCUUUGUUUUUAGCCAGGAAGAAUAAGUACACCUUGUGCUUCCUGUCUCAUUGUGGCACUGGCUCCAUUGCCUGAAUAGCUAAGAGAUGGUUGGUGGCUGUGCUUGUCUGGCUCACUGGACUAAUGAGUAUUGAUAAAUUUAUCUCUUGGCUGUCUGAAAAAUCCCAUGAGUAGUCAGAGGAAACGGCGUCAAUCACUCACCUGUCAGAUGUGCAGAAGCCUUGCCUCCUGGAGGCCCGGAGACCUGGCAUCAUGCAAACUGCUUUUUGGUUCCCUUCUGGAAUUUCAUGGGUGAGGAAUACCCCAAGUUGGACUGUGGCCAAGCAGAAGAGGGGAAUGUGGCUCACUGUUUGUGGUUCCAGCAUGAUUUGUAGAUGCUUGAGGAAUGUUGCUCAUCGUAUUGUGAUCACCCUUCUUAAUGCGCAGGAGUGCCUUCUGUUUGUCAUGUGUCUCCAGUAACAGCUCCAGUAGCCCCUCAAAGAGCUUCCACCUGCUGUGAGUUAGCAAGCCAUCUCUGUGGCAUUGAUGUCCCAGUUGCAAAGCCAGAUGUUACAUCUAGCCAAGAUGGUUGCUGCCAUAGCCCUGGCAUUGGACUUCACUGCAUCCCGCACAGCGUCUGCUUGGAAAGUUGCAGCAAUGGAGAAUUUCUUCACUUUUUAAAAGCUUGAUCCAGAAUCUCUAGGGAGAGACGGUGAGCAAAGUCCAUCACUGCAGGGCUUGCUGAAGACGGCAUCCCAGACUUUGUCUGAUAUUGGGAAGAUUUAUCUACAUUACCUCCACUAUAUUCGCUGACUUCACGGCUUCCAUCAUCUAGAAUAGUGUGUGGAAAGGGGCUUUUGGAUUUGAUACAGCCCAUGGUACAAUAACAGUAAAUGGAAGUUCAAAUUAGCUGCACGGUCAACCUUGAAGUACUGUCCUUCAGAGGGCUCAAGAAUGCCACUUUCUUGAAAGCCGAGAUGAGAAUAUGUCUCUCUCCCAAUAUCUGUGGAGAAAACAUUUUACAUGGUAGGGUUUAGAUAGGUUCUUGUUUUUGGGUUCUACUCUAAAAGCAGAUUUUUAAAAGACAGAUUUGCUAGAUAGAGUUUAAGAAAAAUAUAAUUUGUUUCUAUUUAGGCAAAUGGCAAUCACUUACAACAAAGGACUCUCUCCAAACACACACCCCAUUUAGGACAUAAAUACUAAAAAGUUUGGUUUCACAACUGUUACCCACAGUAGCAAUCUACUAGCUAAAUGUUAUUUUCAAGUUUAGCAUGAAUUGCUCAGCACACCUCAAAGGCUGGUUCUGGAUAUGAAUAUAGGAUUGUAUUCACUGUUAGCCCUACUCAGAAUAGACCCACUGAAAUUAAUGCCCAUUAAUUUAAAUGGCUCUACUCUUAGGAUUAGUGUUGAAUACCACCCAUGGGCAUAAUUUUAGCCUAACUGGGUUUAGACUGCUUUAGUACAGUGAGGGGGGAAAGUAUUUGAUCCCCUGCUAAAUUUGCCCAUUUGCCCCCUGACGAAGCAAUGACCAGUCCAUAAUUUUAAUGGUAGGUUUAUUGUAGCUGUGAGAGACAAAAUAACAACAGGAAAACCCCCAGAAACCUAGAAGACAAAAGUCAGAGAUUGAUGUGCAUUAUUAUAAUGAGUGAAAUAAGUAUUUGAUCCUCUAUCAACCAGCCAGAUGUCAGGCUACCUUGUAUCUUCACUGUAUGUAACGAGCUGAGAUUAGCAGAACCUGUUGUACGGGAGAGGUUUUACCUGUAAUCCCAGCCCGUUACAGUACCUGUACAAAAGACAUUUGUCGACAGAAGCAAUCCAGCAGAUUCCAAAGUAGCCACCAUGACCAAGACCAAAGAGCUGUCCAAGGAUGUCAGGGACAAGAUUGUAGACCUGCACAAGGCUGGACUGGGCUACAAGACUACUGCCAAGCAGCUUGGUGAGAAGGUGACAACAGAUGGUGUAGUAAUUCGCAAAUGGAAGAAACAUAAAAUAACUGUCAACCUCCCUCAGUCUGGGGCUUCAUGCAAGAGGCCUGUUCGUAACACGGAACUGACGUAAGCUGAAGUGUUGCGUCUGCGCACGCGCAAGCAGCAAAAUCCAGAAGUAACCCGUUCUGGUGCUUCCGGGUUUACGCGGGACGCAAGAUGAAAACACGCAACCUGAAGCGGACGCAACCUGAGGGAUGACUGCAAUCACAAAAGACUCAACAUCUCAAGUACUUUCAGAAACUUUAUGAAGCCACGUGAAAUUACUUUUGAGCACAACUUUUAAUGUUCAACAUUAAAGUGUGUGUUCGAAACAGCCAUAUGUGCUGCCACCUUACUGGUCCUUAAUCUCCUCUAAAUUUUUAUCCUUGUAAAGCAAAAAAGAAUUUCAUUUAGGCAGCUAAUUGCUCCCCCAGAAGACUUAAGAGGCAGAACAACCAACUAGGAGAUGACAGCACUAGCACUGCAAGUGCCAUUAGCAGCCACUAGCAUCCUGAAAAUACAGAAGGCUCAGCAGUGUCCAACACUACUACACAGUCGGGAUUUUGCAAGCCUCUGGCAAUGCUAGAAAAUCAAUGACCUCUUAUUAAAGGAGGGAUGAACCUCUGGCUUGAAUUUGGCCUGGUAGGGGGUCCUUAUUAUUAAUAUAGCUGCCAAGUCUCCCAUAUUCCCCAGGAAACCCCCGUUUUUCCAGCUGUCCCCAGCCGUAAAAAAUGUUUUUUUGUUUUCCCCCGGUUUAUUCUGGCGCGGCGGCCAUUUUGGAACUGGGCGGAGCAUGCUCAGAAGCGACUUUUGAUGCUGCUCUGCCCAGUUCCAAAAUGGCUGCAGCGUGACUUCUGGUGCGGCGGCCAUUUUGGAACUGGGCACAGCAGCAUCAAAAGUCACUUCUGAGCAUGCUCCGCCCAGUUCCAAAAUGGCGGCAGCGCUACUUCCGGCCUGGUCCCUUAUUAUUCAGGCAGGAACUUGGCAGGUAUGAUUAUUAUUAUUGAUUGGUAUGGAAAACAGGGCUUGCUUUUGAUGCUGAAUUCAAUGCAUGCACUGCUGGGAUUAGAUCCUCUUGGGAGUGGAUCCCUGCCAAAUGGGCCUUGCACUCAGCCAUAGAUUUAAAUUCUGUGCUGACUGGAAAACCUGCUUUUGGCAGUGAUCUUAGGAACUCUGACUUGAAAUCAAAUUAAAGCCAGGGCUGCAAAUGAAGAGUAGUGAGCACAAUCUGAUCCAACCCCCGGUUUAAAGGGUUGUAUCUAACUAAGUUCCCCCAGGCCUUUGGCUAAUUAAAUAAUCUAUGACAUUUUAAACGGGGUGGUGGUGGUGGUGGUGGUUUUAUAUUACUAUGUUAUGUUAUUUUUGCAUUUUUAAAUUGUAAACCACCAUGUGAUCCUUGGAUUAAGAUGGUAUAGAAAUUUAGUAAGUUUGUGGUGCUAAUGAACUUCCAUAUGGAUUUUAAGAACUGGCUGCAGUUUCUGUCAAGAAAGGAAAGGUGGAUGAAACAGGCUUCUACAUUCAUAGGAUGUACGUUAUUAGGAUCAAUGCAUUUUGAAUUGGGAACUUUUUCAGGGGCACUAUGCAGUUAAAAUAACAUAAAAUCCCCAACCAUUUAUAUUGCGUAGAGUUCUUGAAGAAGAUUCCAUUCUCAAAUGCAUUUGGCCUAAUAAAGCUAACAUCUGUGUACCUACAGGUUUCCAGUCAUCUUUUGCCUCCAUUGUCUGUCACACACACUUGUUCUACAACUAUAGCCAGAAUUUUAAAAGCUAACAACUGGUAUUUUAAACAUACAGUACAAUACUCAGCCCAGAAAGCUCAACAUCAGGUUUUAACACUUAACUGGAUACAAGCAGCUAUUGUCAUAUAUGUCCCAGAGAGUGAGAGCAGCAGAUGAUGGAAAGAUGGACAUCCAGUAAAAUUCAAUGAUCACCUUAACUUUGUCAGUUAAUUGUUAAUGAAACAUCCAAGUUCAGAAGUAUUUCAUGGUAGGUGUUAAAGGAAUUUCUUGGACAGAAGCUGCACCUGAAGAAAAGCUAUCCUUUACAUAUUCAACACUACAGAACAUUGAACGCUGUCUUAUGACAAGUCAGACCAUUUGUCCAACUGAGUGGCAAUGACUCUCCAGGGUUUCAGACAUGAGACAUUUGCAGCCCUGAUCCUCUGCAUGCAAAGCAGAUGCUCUAAGGCAGGCGUGGCAAACUUAUGACCCUCCAGAAACUACAUUUGAACUACAUUUCCCAUUAUCCUUGACACUGGUUAUGCUGGCUGAGGCUGAUGUGAGUUGUAGUCCAACAGCUGGUCACCAAUGUACUAAGGCAGGAUUUCCCAAACUUGGGUCCCCAUCUGUUUUUGGACUACAAUCCCCACCAUCCCUGACCUCUGGAUGUUGGAAGUUGCAGUCCCAAAAACAGCUGCAGACUCAAGUUUGGGAAAUCCUAUACUACAAUUUGGCUAAGAAAGAACUGACUCCACAUGCAAGCUGUAGGAAAGUCUAUCACUGUCCUGAUCAUAUAUAGGGAGGGUACUGUUUAAAAGCCACCAUGUGCAAAACCCCUAAUGCAUGCACUGCUUGUGCACCAGUCAUGCUCUCAGGACCUAUAGUGUUGAUGGAUGCACAGGUUUUUAAACAUGAAUGAGUCUUAUAUAUACUUUAUAAUAGAGACUUUUCUGUGGCAUAGAAAAAAUACAGUCUUAGCCAAUUUAAGACCAGGUGCAUUUGACAGCUAACAAGGGAAGCUUAUUAACGGAAUUUGCAGCAGUAGUUGUCAAAUCAAACUGUCAGUCCAUGUUCAAUAUUUUCUGACAUGUUUUCAGCCUCCUAAGGCAGAGUGGCUAAUCAGUGCACCUUCUACUUAUCAUACAGCAACUCCAGGAUUAGUAAAUUAACACAAGCCAAUU